GACGAACGCUGGCGGCGUGCCUAAUACAUGCAAGUAGAACGCUGAAGGAGGAGCUUGCUUCUCUGGAUGAGUUGCGAACGGGUGAGUAACGCGUAGGUAACCUGCCUGGUAGUGGGGGAUAACUAUUGGAAACGAUAGCUAAUACCGCAUAAUAGCAGUUGUUGCAUGAUAACUGUUUGAAAGGUGCAAUUGCACCGCUACCAGAUGGACCUGCGUUGUAUUAGCUAGUUGGUGGGGUAACGGCUCACCAAGGCGACGAUACAUAGCCGACCUGAGAGGGUGAUCGGCCACACUGGGACUGAGACACGGCCCAGACGCCUACGGGAGGCAGCAGUAGGGAAUCUUCGGCAAUGGACGGAAGUCUGACCGAGCAACGCCGCGGGAGUGAAGAAGGGUUUCGGAUCGUAAAGCUCGGUUGUAAGAGAAGAACGAGUGUGAGAGUGGAAAGUUCACACUGUGACGGUAGCUUACCAGAAAGGGACGGCUAACUACGUG
rnacentral:rRNA from 1 species